rnacentral:lncRNA from 1 species
UGCGCCUCCCACUUUGAUGCCAUAUAUCCUCACGCACAAAUAGUUUUUGCAUAAGAUUUUUUUUAUACCAAAGAGUCCUUUUCCUUCUCUAUCUCACAUCUAAAUUUGGGUAGGAUCAGGUUUUAAAUGGUAUGUUCAAAUCUGAUUUGAAAUAGGAUACCAUAUAGAUAAUGUUUGACAUUAUCUCUUAGACCUUGUUGCUAACUUAUUUUUUUCUCCUUAUAUGUGUGAUAUUUUGAAGAGAUAUUUUGUAAGAAAAAUAUAGAAGGGGCAUCUCAUAUUUUUUUGGUAUAUUUUUGUAUAAAUUUUUGAGUAAGGGUGACAACACA